rnacentral:rRNA from 1 species
GCAAGUCGAGCGAGACCUUCGGGUCUAGCGGCGGACGGGUGAGUAACACGUGGGAACAUGCCCUUCACUGCGGAAUAACCAUUGGAAACGAUAACUAAUACCGCAUACGCCCUUCGGGGGAAAGAUUUAUCGGUGAAGGAUUGGCCCGCGUUGGAUUAGGUAGUUGGUGGGGUAAUGGCCUACCAAGCCUACGAUCCAUAGCUGGUUUUAGAGGAUGAUC